UUGAGCUGUUUCAAAGCAACAUUGUUACUGAAAGCAUUCCUUGCUAGCCCCUACCUGACUGGCCCGAGUUUACAAAAGAAGUAAGCAACGGACACUGACACUUGACCAAUCACAAACCAUGCUUAAAGAUCUCAGGGCAAUUAUCAUCUCUUACCAAAGGCGCUAGGCUAAAGGAACCUCCAUCUUCUAAGAAAUAAAGGUCAGUGAGACUGCAGGACCGGAGCCUGGUGUGUGUGAUACUGCACCUCUGAAAUACAGGAGAGUCACUGUGACUGCACCGCCCUUUCCUAACCCAGUGACUUGGCCUCGAGGGUGUUGGACCAAAGUGUGAGAAACCAGAAUUCAGAAUCAUCAGUCAUGGCAAACUUGCUUCAGAUUGUGCGUGACCACUGGGUUCACAUACUUGUCCCUGUGGGCUUUGUCUUUGGAUGUUAUCUAGACAGAAAGAAUGAUGAAAAGCUAACAGCCUUCCGGAACAAGAGUAUGUUAUUUAAAAGGGAAUUGAGGCCUAAUGAAGAAGUUACCUGGAAGUGAGGCUGCACUGAGUUAUGGAGUGCUGGCGUUUUACGAGAUGCAGGAGAAAUAAAAACAUGUUUACUAUUUGA